rnacentral:rRNA from 1 species
AUUGAACGCUGGCGGAAUGCUUUACACAUGCAAGUCGAGCGGCAGCGCGGGGCAACCUGGCGGCGAGCGGCGAACGGGUGAGUAAUACAUCGGAACGUGCCCAGACGUGGGGGAUAACUACUCGAAAGAGUGGCUAAUACCGCAUACGAUCUACGGAUGAAAGCGGGGGAUCGCAAGACCUCGCGCGUCUGGAGCGGCUGAUGGCAGAUUAGGUAGUUGGUGGGAUAAAAGCCUACCAAGCCAACGAUCUGUAGCUGGUCUGAGAGGAUGAUCAGCCACACUGGGACUGAGACACGGCCCAGACUCCUACGGGAGGCAGCAGUGGGGAAUUUUGGACAAUGGGCGAAAGCCUGAUCCAGCCAUUCCGCGUGCAGGAUGAAGGCCCUCGGGUUGUAAACUGCUUUUGUACAGAACGAAAAGCUCUGGCUAAUACCUGGAGUCCAUGACGGUACUGUAAGAAUAAGCACCGGCUAACUACGUG